rnacentral:ncRNA from 1 species
AGUAUUAUCAAUAUUCAUGACAAUCCCGGUGCACAAGGCGGAUACCGCCGCUUCCGGGGUGCAGGCGAACGAGUCGGGACCGGUGACGAUAGCCACUGGUUGAAGCUUUCUUGUCGCGGAAACGCAGCGAGAGAAGACGGGAAUCCGUCAACGGUGCCUGCAGCGCAUCAUGCAGCACCAUUAAAAAGUAUCGUCCUCGCGGCAGCCAUAAUAGACGCCUCCGGUGGAGGAAUAAUCCGUUUGCCCUCAGUGUGGCAGCUGAGGAUACAAACGGAAAUGCCAACCAAGGCUGUUCGUCUUGAACUGCUGGACACAGCAGCUAUAACGCGAGAAACGAGUCGGAGUAGCUCAAUGACGGGUUUUUGAAAAAUCAAAACUAUCUGAAUGGCGGGUGAAACGUGCGGGUACUCAUUCCCGUUUGGGCAUUGCGGGCGUUUGCCAAGGCAAGAAGCAAUCGAAUACGCGGUCGAUUGUUCAGACUUGUCUUCCCAGUGACUGAUUUUAUUAGUGAUGCUGAGUGAGUAGAUGGAAGCCAUUUAAGGCGACAUCUGUGAUGG